AACGAACGCUGGCGGCAGGCUUAACACAUGCAAGUCGAGCGCCCCGCAAGGGGAGCGGCAGACGGGUGAGUAACGCGUGGGAACGUACCUUUUGGUUCGGAACAACUCCGGGAAACUGGAGCUAAUACCGGAUAAGCCCUAACGGGGAAAGAUUUAUCGCCGAAAGAUCGGCCCGCGUCUGAUUAGCUAGUUGGUGAGGUAACGGCUCACCAAGGCGACGAUCAGUAGCUGGUCUGAAAGGAUGAUCAGCCACACUGGGACUGAGACACGGCCCAGACUCCUACGGGAGGCAGCAGUGGGGAAUAUUGGACAAUGGGCGCAAGCCUGAUCCAGCCAUGCCGCGUGAGUGAUGAAGGCCUUAGGGUUGUAAAGCUCUUUUGUCCGGGAAGAUAAUGACUGUACCGGAAGAAUAAGCCCCGGCUAACUUCGUG
rnacentral:rRNA from 1 species